rnacentral:rRNA from 1 species
UACGUAGGGUGCGAGCGUUGUCCGGAAUUAUUGGGCGUAAAGGGCUCGUAGGCGGUUUGUCGCGUCGGGAGUGAAAUCCACUGGCUUAACUGGUGGCUUGCUUUCGAUACGGGCAGACUAGAGGUAUUCAGGGGAGAACGGAAUUCCUGGUGUAGCGGUGAAAUGCGCAGAUAUCAGGAGGAACACCGGUGGCGAAGGCGGUUCUCUGGGAAUGACCUGACGCUGAGGAGCGAAAGUGUGGGGAGCGAACAGG